rnacentral:rRNA from 1 species
GAUGAACGCUAGCGGCAGGCUUAACACAUGCAAGUCGAGGGGUAGAAGUUACUUGUAACUUUGAGACCGGCGCACGGGUGCGUAACGCGUAUGCAAUCUACCUUUUACAGAGGGAUAGCCCAGAGAAAUUUGGAUUAAUACCUCAUAGUAUCUUUGCCUGGCAUCAGGUGAUUAUUAAAGUUCCAACGGUAAAAGAUGAGCAUGCGUCCUAUUAGCUAGAUGGUAAGGUAACGGCUUACCAUGGCAACGAUAGGUAGGGGUCCUGAGAGGGAGAUCCCCCACACUGGUACUGAGACACGGACCAGACUCCUACGGGAGGCAGCAGUGAGGAAUAUUGGACAAUGGGCGCAAGCCUGAUCCAGCCAUGCCGCGUGCAGGAAGAAGCAUCUAUGGUGUGUAAACUGCUUUUGUACGGGAAGAAACACUCCCUCGUGAGGGAGCUUGACGGUACCGUAAGAAUAAGGAUCGGCUAACUCCGUGCCAGCCGCCGCGGUAAAAC